rnacentral:rRNA from 1 species
CCUACGGGCGGCUGCAGUCGAGAAUCAUUCACAAUGGGGGAAACCCUGAUGGUGCGACGCCGCGUGGGGGAAUGAAGGUCUUCGGAUUGUAAACCCCUGUCAUGUGGGAGCAAAUUAAAAAGAUAGUACCACACGAGGAAGAGACGGCUAACUCUGUGCCAGCAGCCGCGGUAAUACAGAGGUCUCAAGCGUUGUUCGGAAUCACUGGGCGUAAAGCGUGCGUAGGCUGUUUCGUAAGUCGUGUGUGAAAGGCGCGGGCUCAACCCGCGGACGGCACAUGAUACUGCGAGACUAGAGUAAUGGAGGGGGAACCGGAAUUCUCGGUGUAGCAGUGAAAUGCGUAGAUAUCGGGAGGAACACUCGUGGCGAAGGCGGGUUCCUGGACAUUAACUGACGCUGAGGCACGAAGGCCAGGGGAGCGAAAGGGAUUAGAUACCCUAGUAGUC